rnacentral:rRNA from 1 species
AUUCCAGCUCCAAUAGCGUAUAUUAAUGUUGUUGCAGUUAAAAAGCUCGUAGUUGGAUUUCUGGUGGGAGCGGCCGGUCCGCCGUAAGGUGUGUACUUGGUUGUCUCCUGUCAUCCUUGUGGGAACUGCUCUGGCAUUAAGUUGUCGGGGUUAGGGAACACAUCGUUUACUGUGAAAAAAUUAGAGUGUUUAAAGCAGGCUUAUGCCGUUGAAUACAUUAGCAUGGAAUAAUAAGAUAGGACUUUGGCGUCUAUUUUGUUGGUUUGCACACCAAGGUAAUGAUUAAUAGGGAUAGUUGGGGGUAUUCGUAUUUAAUUGUCAGAGGUGAAAUUCUUGGAUUUACGGAAGAUAAACUACUGCGAAAGCAUUCGCCAAGGAUGUUUUCAUUA